rnacentral:rRNA from 1 species
UGGGGAAUUUUGCACAAUGGGGGGAACCUUGAUGCAGCGACGCCGCGUGAGGGAUGGAGGCCUUCGGGUUGUGAACCUCUUUCGCUCGUGUGCAAGCCGCUAUUUGGGUAGUGGUGAGUGUAGCGGGUAAAGAAGCGCCGGCUAACUACGUUCCAGCAGCCGCGGUAAUACGUAGGGCGCGAGCGUUGUCCGGAUUUAUUGGGCGUAAAGGGCUUGUAGGCGGUUUGUCGCGCCUGUCGUGUAAUCCUCUGGCUUAACUGGGGGUGUGCGGUGGGUACGGGCAAGCUUGAGUGCGGUAGGGGAGAAUGGAGUUCCUGGUGUAGCGGUGGAAUGCGCAGAUGUCAGGAGGAACACCGGUGGCGAAGGCGGGUCUCUGGGCCGUUACUGACGCUGAGGAGAGAAAGCGUGGGGAGCGAACAGG